GCGAGAAAGGGCUUCGGCCCCGGUACAGCGGCGCACGGGUGAGUAACACGUAGGUAAUCUACCCCUGAAUGGUGGAUAACCCUCCGAAAGGAGGGCUAAUACAGCAUAAGACCACGGCUUCUUCGGAGGCUGAGGCCAAAGCGGGCCACUUUACAAAAGCUCGCGUUUGGGGAUGAGCCUGCGGCCCAUCAGCUAGUUGGCGGUGUAACGGACCACCAAGGCUAAGACGGGUAGCUGGUCUGAGAGGAUGAACAGCCACACUGGAACUGAGACACGGUCCAGACUCCUACGGGAGGCAGCAGUGGGGAAUCUUGCGCAAUGGGCGAAAGCCUGACGCAGCGACGCCGCGUGAGUGAUGAAGGCCUUCGGGUUGUNNNGCUCUGUGGGGAGAG
rnacentral:rRNA from 1 species